GGCAUGCAGUCGUGCGGAAAGGCUCCUUCGGGAGCACUCGAGCGGCGAAAGGGAGAGUAACGCGUGGGUUAUCUACCCUCGGGACCGGGAUAGCGGCGGGAAACUGCCGGUAAUACCGGAUAAUGUCCCCGGACCAAAUGGUGUGAUUCCGCCUGAGGAUGGGCCCGCGACCUAUUAGCUUGUUGGUGGGGUAAUGGCCUACCAAGGCAAAGAUGGGUACCGGGUGUGAGAGCAUGACCCGGCUCACUGGGACUGAGACACUGCCCAGACACCUACGGGUGGCUGCAGUCGAGAAUCUUCGGCAAUGAGCGCAAGCUCGACCGAGCGACGCCGCGUGCGGGAUGAAGGCCUUCGGGUUGUAAACCGCUGUCAGUGGGGAGGAAAUGCAUCGGGGCUCACUCCGAUGUUUGACCGAUCUGCAGAGGAAGUCCGGGCUAAGUUCGUGCCAGCAGCCGCGGUAAGACGAACCGGACGAACGUUAUUCGGAAUUACUGGGCUUAAAGAGUGCGUAGGCGGCUUGGCAGGUUGGGUGUGAAAUCCCUCGGCUCAACCGAGGAACUGCGCUCAAAACCGCCAGGCUUGAGGGAGAUAGGGGUGAGUGGAACUGAUGGUGGAGCGGUGAAAUGCGUUGAUAUCAUCAGGAACACCGGUGGCGAAGGCGGCUCACUGGGAUCUCUUCUGACGCUGAGGCACGAAAGCUAGGGGAGCGAACGGGAUUAGAUAC
rnacentral:rRNA from 1 species